UACGUAGGGUGCGAGCGUUAAUCGGAAUUACUGGGCGUAAAGGGCUCGUAGGCGGCCAACUAAGUCAGACGUGAAAUCCCUCGGCUUAACCGGGGAACUGCGUCUGAUACUGGAUGGCUAGAGUUUGGGAGAGGGAUGCGGAAUUCCAGGUGUAGCGGUGAAAUGCGUAGAUAUCUGGAGGAACACCGGUGGCGAAGGCGGCAUCCUGGACCAACACUGACGCUGAGGAGCGAAAGCCAGGGGAGCAAACGGG
rnacentral:rRNA from 1 species